rnacentral:ncRNA from 1 species
AUAAUAGGCUAAUCUUUUUGGGAUUAGAAAAUUUGUUACCUCAAUGUCUGCUCUUCGUCACCUGGGGUUGUAAAAUUUUCCAAGGGUUAGGUUGUUCACCUAAUAAAAUGGUACGUGCGCUGAGUUAAGAACAUCGUAAAAUAAUUU